rnacentral:misc_RNA from 1 species
UCACAGCUUGCUGCUACUUCGCCACAGUAGCUGGGCGGAGCAGUCGUCGCUGCCGUUAUCCCGUCCGUCGACUUCAAUGGAGAAGUGAGAAGUGAGGAGCAGGGCGGCGGAAGAGGGAGAGAGGAGAGCGGAGGCGAAGGGAUUUUCGUUGUAGUUCUCGCCAGCGACCAGCGAUGGUGGCCAGAGCAGCGAAGGGAGAAGAUAAAGGAGGGACCAGAGGCUGCUGGCUUUGCCGGUGAAAGGUGAUUUUUCGGCGGAAAUGGAGAGUAGAAGCUGGUGCGGCGGAGAAGUUGAGGGAGAUGGGGUGUGCUGCUGCUGAGUUCUCCAACAGGAAGAGGACAAAUGAGAUAGGUUUUUG